rnacentral:rRNA from 1 species
CCUACGGGUGGCAGCAGUGGGGAAUAUUGCACAAUGGGGGAAACCCUGAUGCAGCGACGCCGCGUGAAGGAAGAAGUAUUUCGGUAUGUAAACUUCUAUCAGCAGGGAAGAAAAUGACGGUACCUGACUAAGAAGCCCCGGCGAACUACGUGCCAGCAGCCGCGGGAAUACGUAGGGGGCAAGCGUUAUCCGGAUUUACUGGGGGUAAAGGGAGCGUAGGCGGCGAUGCAAGUCAGAAGUGAAAGGCCGGGGCUCAACUCCGGGACUGCUUUUGAAACUGUAUGGCUAGAUUGCAGGAGAGGCAAGUGGAAGUCGUGGUGUAGCGGUGAAAUGCGUAGAUAUUAGGAGGAACACCAGUGGCGAAGGCGGUUUGCUGGACUGUAAAUGACGCUGAGGCUCGAAAGCGUGGGGAGCAAACAGGAUUAGAUACCCUUGUAGUC